UACUGCAUACACUGACAGAUGGGUUUCUGAUUUGACCUCAGUAUUACAGCUGCACAGACAGGAACAAAGAUGCCACCAGGCUGACUUUUCUGCAGCGCGAU